rnacentral:lncRNA from 1 species
UUGGAGACCCUCUUUACACCGUGCCCUCUUCAAACGUUUCCACACAUCAGUGAGCAGCAGCACCGCAAUCUUUACUCGACGGCACGCUCUGUGGGCCUAGAAAAUGCCUUGACGUUCGAGCACUUCGGGAGCUAUACCGGCGGACAGCCGGAUGCGAGUAGCUUGGCCGUUCCUUGCUCUGCGCAUCGCUUGAAAACCGGCGGUCAUCCUGCAGUGUACGCUGCCAGCGUGCUUUCUUGCCAGAGCCGCCUCCCCUGCUGGUGAUGACCAUAUGCAGCCAAUGCUGAUGUGAACCCGAGUGAUGAACAAAUGCAGAUCUGCAAAGGAGCUGUCCUGGGGCACCAUGCUUACUCAAGUCAUGCAGCGAGAGUCAGCAUGCCUGGAAAAGUACUUCAAAGCACACCCCAUCUGGCUGACUGCACUACCUCAAGGAAACUGCCUUUCUCCCAUCUGCAAGUUCCUAAGAAGUUACUAUAUGAAGCAAGC